GGAUGUAAGGGCAAUCUGGCUGCGACAUCUGUCACCCCAUUGAUCGCCAGGGUUGAUUCGGCUGAUCUGGCUGGCUAGGCGGGUGUCCCCUUCCUCCCUCACUGCUCCAUGUGCGUCCCUCCCGAAGCUGCAUGCUCAGUCAAAGAGGACGACCUUCCCCGAUAGAGACGGUACUGUUCAUCGGUCAAGGGUAUACAGUAGCUGCGCUCCCCUGCUAGAACCUCCAAACGGGAGAAGAAUAUCUCUGAUGAGACAGAAGAAGCAUAUAAAAGAAAGAAUUGCCACCUAAGAAGUGAUGACAUUGCUGGAGUU
rnacentral:snRNA from 1 species